GAAAAUAACCCAUGUGACCAUUUCUUAGAAAAGCAAAAUCAAAUAUAAUAUCAACGAUAAAAACAUAUAGGUCAGGCACGGGAAAGUCCCUUUCCUUUCCAGCCAAUAAAAUUCGAGAUGUUGUAAUAUUAGAGUUUUCUCAUUGGCCAGCCAACACAGUUUCAUUUUGAUAAAGAGAAGUGUUAUAAUUGUUUAGUCGCUUACUCUGAACUCGUGUAAACACAGUCCAAGGAGAUUUGUGAAAAAUGGUUUCUUCAAUAUGCCAACGUCUCUUGGAUAAACAAUGGAAAUUUUAAAAACUUGAAAAUGUGCCUCGCAUGCAAGGCAUAUACGUGAUUGGAGAGAUAGUUCCCCAACAAGACCCACUGGUCCUCUAUGUGGGUCGUAGCAAAGACAUACACCGGAGGAUGGCCGAGCAUAAGCCAAGGAAUUUGGCCAUCGACGAGUACGUCAAAGCAAAAUUUAGACUUAACGAUGGCGAAAACCUACGUAUAAAGUGGGUUCGUGAGAGAAACAGCAAUCAUAAGGAAAAGGAAUAUCGUAAAUGUAUUGCGGACAAACUUGGAUACUGGCCAGAAUAUAACAUCAGGCAUUAGGAUUAAAACCAUCAAGUUGUGGACACAUCCUUGUCUGAAGUUAAUUGACCUGAUUUUAUUUAGUCUUAACAACUUUGUUGCUUGACCACGUAAUGGUCCUUUGGAUCGAAAACGUUUUUGUACUUAAGGGUCAAUCGGUUUCUCACGUCUACGUCAUAAAUUUGAUCUAAUUCACUUGUAAGUUAUUACAUUAGAAGAGAAAAUCUAGUUCGUCAAGCCUUACUUGAAGAUAUUAAAAUCAUAGGAAAAGCACAGUAAAUCCAUGUACGUUUUAGUGCUAACUCUUGAGAAUUACAAUUAUUGCAGUAGGCAUGAU